GGGAUUAUAGUUUAAUUGGUAAAACAUAAAUUUUGCAUAUUUAUAAAAUGGGUUCAAUUCCCAUUGAUUCCA
rnacentral:tRNA from 1 species